GAUGAACGCUGGCGGCGUGCCUAAUACAUGCAAGUCGAGCGAACGGACGAGAAGCUUGCUUCUCUGAUGUUAGCGGCGGACGGGUGAGUAACACGUGGAUAACCUACCUAUAAGACUGGGAUAACUUCGGGAAACCGGAGCUAAUACCGGAUAAUAUUUUGAACCGCAUGGUUCAAAAGUGAAAGACGGUUUUGCUGUCACUUAUAGAUGGAUCCGCGCUGCAUUAGCUAGUUGGUAAGGUAACGGCUUACCAAGGCAACGAUGCAUAGCCGACCUGAGAGGGUGAGCGGCCACACUGGAACUGAGACACGGUCCAGACUCCUACGGGAGGCAGCAGUAGGGAAUCUUCCGCAAUGGGCGAAAGCCUGACGGAGCAACGCCGCGUGAGUGAUGAAGGUCUUCGGAUCGUAAAACUCUGUUAUUAGGGAAGAACAUAUGUGUAAGUAACUAUGCACAUCUUGACGGUACCUAAUCAGAAAGCCACGGCUAACUACGUG
rnacentral:rRNA from 1 species